GUUGGACUGCAGAGCCCAAAGGUUAACUCGGCUGGCUCCACAGGCGGGAGUGGGAGAGCAGGGAAGAUGGUAGAGGGCCUCCCAAAGGUGCAGGGAGCUCUAGCUGACAAAUAAGCACCUGGAAGGUGGGGCUUUGUAUGUUAAAACCUACCUCAGACUUAAGAAAAUAUACCCCUUCCUGACCAGGUCUCCGAUUCUCUUGCAAUCAAGUCUCCAAGACUCUCCCUGUGUCACCACUCCAAUCACUGUGAUAGGCCAACAUCAAGACCCUCACAGAACCAGGUGAGGGCUAUUCAAAGGGUAACCACUGAUUAAGAAGUCAGGAAGUAGAGGCAAAACUGUCUCAAUGUCCUUGAAGACACUGGAAAGGGUGGUGGGGGGUAUGGGAGGUACUCCUAAUAAAACCUGAGGACAGGAGGGGACAGCAGUCCCUGUCCCUUCUGAGAGGACCCACUCUCUCCUUUGGUAGGUAUUGCCUUUCCCCUUUCUUAUUCCUUCUAAUAAACUAAGGCCGUUACAUUCCCUCAGUUUCUUGGAAGCCCGGGCUGCGCACCAUUAACACUGUUGCCACACGUGAAGGGAUGGGCUUCCUGGAGCCUGUUGACACCCGAACUGCAAGCUGAAAACAGGAGCUGGUCAGGCAAGAAGUAGGGAGAGGUCUGAUGGUAAGAGUAAGGGCAUUUGCAAUGUGGUCAAUGUUUAAUGAAUGAGUUAUUGAAUCAGAAAAUAAUUAAAAUGCAUACACAAACCAGUAUGUUA
rnacentral:lncRNA from 1 species